ACAAGGGUGUAAAAAAAAUUCGCACCAACCCGUCAACUGAGGAUUUCGACACGAUGUAAACAAAAAGAAGGAAACUUAAGAUUGCAGUUAUUUGCCGUCCUAAUUGCACUGCGUUUGAAUGAAACCAUGGCUGUUAUAGAUGACAUGGAAGAAUCCGGCCAGGUCUUUCUGGCUGUCAUCAGUGCAAUAGGGUCAUUGGUGGUGCUGGUGGUGGCGGUCCUACUGUGUGGGUGGUGCUUCAAUAAGACGGACGAUGAUGGGGAUGAAAUGGACAGCCCCGACCUGUUGGCUCAAAAGUACACCGCCGUGGCCCCCCAGGAAUCUGACGAAAAUGACGGUGUUCGCGUGCUGAACAAGCGGUCCUGGGAGGCGAGAUCAUCCAUGCAUAACACGCCCAUACUACGAAGAGAAAGUGUCAAGUUCGAACGUCCGGCCAGCCGCAGUCCAGUGGUCACUGAGCAAGUCCAACCGUCCCCUAACGCACACACCUCGCUCCACGAGAGCCUUGGGGUCAGGAAUGGAGCGGGUGCGGGGGGCCACGGGAACUACCAAGCGAUGGGCGGCACCCCCACACACAGGCCCCUCAUGAAGAAUGAUUCUUCAAAAUCCCAAAGUGCCGAUGACGUCAACAAUUCCUUAUGGAAAGGAAUGAGGAACAUUGCGUUCACGUUAAUGGAAAAUGCGUCUCAAGACGCAGAGACAAUGGAAGCGUCGUCAUCAAUUGACGUCACAGAGGGCGUCGAUUGUAAACUGGGACGCCUACAAAUAGGAUUAAGCUAUGACUUUCAGUCUUUGACCUUGACUUUAAAAGUGAUACAGGCCACUGGUCUGGUGGCCAAAGACUUCACGGGUACAAGUGACCCAUAUGUGAAAAUUCUACUUUUGCCUGAUAAGAGACACAAACUUGUGACUAAAGUGAAAAAGAAAAACCUCAAUCCGCGGUGGAAUGAAAGCUUUUUGUUCGAAGGUUGGCCUCACAAUAAGUUAUUAGAGAAGACGAUAUACUUACAAGUGAUUGAUUACGAUCGGUUCAGUCGGGACGACCCGAUCGGGGAGACCUACAUACCACUGAACGAGGUGGACCUGUCCCAGUCGCCAAUCAUGUGGCGCUACUUACAACCGUGCAAAGACAGCAGGGGUAAACUGGGGGAGAUUCUACUGUCAUUAAGCUACCAGCCCGCCGUGGGGAGACUGAACAUCAUCGUCAUGAAAUGCAAAGAUCUCAAAGCCAAAGACAUCACCGGAGCCUCAGAUCCCUACGUUAAAAUGUGGCUAAAGUUUGGCGCCACUAGAAUGGAGAAGAAGAAGACGUCGAUAAAAAUGCGAACUCUGAACCCUGUGUAUAACGAGUCGUUCUUUUUCGAGAUUCCGUGGGACAAAAUUCGGGAGGCUGCAAUAGAAGUGAUAUAAUGGACUUCGAUAAAGUGGGCAGGAACGAAAUGAUCGGCAAAAUCAUUCUAAGCAGCAAGAGUGGGCCGCUAGAAACAAGACACUGGAAUGACAUGAUCACCAAACCUCGCCAACAGGUGGCGCAGUGGCAUUUGCUUAAAGACUGAUAACAUUCCCGGAAGUAGCCAUUAUUGUUUAUUUCAAUUCUUUUUUUCUGUAAAGUGCGAUGUUUCCAAGAAAAGACAACUCUUGUACACUUGUUAAGAAUAAUAUUUAUAAGAUUAUUUAUUGGUGAAUCUCAUGAAUAUUUAUAAUUGGAUUACGUUAACGAUUUAAAAUAAUUAAUUUAUUUGAGGGUAUUUUCACUUUAUAAAUGUAAAAUUUAAAAAUAGGUAAAUGUUCCAAGGGAUGAACGUUCACACAAUACUUAAAGUGUAAUUAAAAACAAAUGGUAUACAUAACCUUUGUAUCUGCAUUCCAUGUUUUUACACAAAUCAAAGUUAUCUCAUCUGCAUUUAUAUUAUGUUACGUAAAAAUCCAUGAUGCGAGAAAUAAUCUUAUAAAACAAUAAAUAAAUGUUGCUCGAAGAUAUGUGUUAGUGAUGUGUAAACUAAACUUUUUUCCCUGUUAACUAUAUAUGGUUUUUAUUGCAUUUCAUUAAAGUUCCACUUACUUACACU
rnacentral:misc_RNA from 1 species